rnacentral:rRNA from 1 species
GUCUACAGCCAUGCUACCUUGAACAAGCCCGAUCCUGUCUGAUCUUGGAAGCUAAGCAGGGUUGAGCCUGGUUAGUAGUUGGAUGGGAGACCAUCUAGGAAGACCAGGUGCUGUAGGCA